GUAGUCUCGCACAGAUGCAUAUCAAUAAGCGGAGGAAAAGAAACUAACAAGGAUUCCCUUAGUAACGGCGAGUGAAGCGGGAAGAGCUCAAAUUUGAAAUCUUCAAGGUUUUACCUUGACGAAUUGUAGUUUAAAGAAGUGUUUUCUGUUGAAGUUUUGGUAAAAGUUCUUUGGAAUAGGACAUCACUAGAGGGUGAGAAUCCCGUCUAUGAUUGCAUAUUUGUAGCUGUGUGAUACACUUUCAAAGAGUCGGAUUGUUUGGGAAUGCAGUCCAAAACUGGGUGGUAAAUUUCAUCUAAGCUAAAUAUUGGCGAGAGACCGAUAGCGAACAAGUACCGUGAGGGAAAGAUGAAAAGAACUUUGAAAAGAGAGUUAAACAGUACGUGAAAUUGUCAAAAGGGAAGCGUUUGACACCAGUGUUGUUUUCUCGAAAAUCAAUUAAAAAGAGUUAGAUUUUGUUGUGUAUUGACCUUAACAGCUUGCAUUUCAAUUUUCUUGCUUUCUUUAAUGCACUUUUCGUUUAACAAGUCAACAUCAGUUUCUUUUGUUGUAAAAAGGUCAUUGGAAGGUGGCUUUCUUUUCGGAGAAAGUGUUUAUAGCCUUUGACUCCUGCAAUCGGAGAGACUGAGGUCUGCAGCGUAGAUCCUUCGGGGUUAGAUACAUUUGUGCUAAGUUAUAGCUUUUUAUAGACAACUUGUUGACUAUGAUUAGUCUUGUAGCUUACUCGCUUAUGCUAUUUUACCUACGCUUAGGAUGUUGAAGAUGUAGCACAUCAU
rnacentral:rRNA from 1 species